UAUUUACUUUUUUCACCCCCCUCCUCUCACAUACUUACAGGUGGGGCCUGCGUGGGACCGACAGUUUUCCUCUCACAAGGGGGGGUAUAAUCAGGAAAGAGGGGGGUGCGUAUAGAAUGAGCCUAUGAAAACACUUCUCAAUAAUUUGCCAUCAGACCACUUAUCAAACAUUUUUGUUAUUAUAUUACAACCAAGUCCACAUAGCCUUUUCAAAAACUAAAUCAAAGCAUCUGUGUUCAUUUAAAGUUUUAAACUAAAGGAUCUGUGAAAAAAGAAAAGCAUAUUUUAACCCACCUAAAAUGGGAGAGUAGCAAUUAAUGUACCGCAAGUCUCUAGCAUGAUUGGCUUUUCGGUUGGGAGAAAAACGAUCUGAACCUGGAGGAUCAGAAAAUGUAUCGAUCUCAAUGAAUAGGUAAAUUUGAGCAUGAAUUCAAGCUUUUAUUCUAAAGUCAACAAUCAUCAACUCACCUUCACGAGCUCGAAUUGAAGAUUUGCAGAUCGGCUGCUAUGUGGUUGAAGGAGGGCUGGUAGUGGUGGUGAUGUUCGGUUUUAGCAGCGGUGGUGACAGGGUAGUGGUGGCGAUGACAACAGGUGGUGUUGGUGCGAAGAUGAUGAUGGUUGGUGGGGUGGGUGGUGGCGAUGGCAGUAGGUGGUGGUGACUGGUGGUGGUGAUAGGAGGGUGAGCUGAGAAACAGAGAGAGAGAGAGAAGGGUUUUUAUGUAUAUAUAAUUGAUUUUUAUUUUUUUAAAACCCUUUUUUUAGUUAUUUACAGAGUCAGUCCUUGAAAACAUGAAAUGACAAACCUACCCUCCUGUGUAGGGCACAUUACUA